AUGUAAAACAAACUUUUGUGUUUAUGGUAUGUUGUUCUAAGUAUGGAUGAUUAGAUGUACAUUCUGCUUGCAUUUCAAGAUGUUCAUUUAACAAGUCUUUUUGGACUCAUUUAAAUAAUAAAUGUAAUGUACACAUUAGUACAGCAGAGUCAUUUCCCCGAAUGUAAUAACUCUGAGAAUUAUUAUUUGCAUUCUAGUCAUACUCAGAGGCCUAUUCAGGAUAGGAGCCCCACUGUGGCAAAUGCUACCAGCCAUCCAAGCAGAUUAGGGGAACAGAUUUUUGUUUCCCUGAGAACCAUAGCGAUUUAGCAGAAUUUUUCAUGAGCUUGGCUCAUGUCCCUUCCCCCCCUCACUUCUGGGGUCUUCAGAGGUCCUAGGUCAUGUUGGCACUAAUGCUUCUCUGCUGAUGAGGAUCCCUGCCCGAGGUUUUCUGGGCAGGGAUGGUUUGCUGCCUGUUGGAGUGUGGUGUGAUGCCAAGCUUGGUGCCAGGAUGCGCACUGUUACACUUUGCUCUGUAGGGAGAGAAGACUCAUGAAGAUUUUACUGAGACAUAUAUAGCACUGGUGAGGGUGGAACCCCUGCUCCCAAGGCAGGGCCUGGGCCUGCUCCUAGGAGUUUGUAGGUCUAUGAGGUAAUAAUGGGGAACCUGGAGGUCCCACUCCCCCAUUCCUGAGCGGUGUAGCCAUAACUCUUGCAUUUGUCUGAGUCAGUUCACUCAGCCAACAUGUGAAAAUUCACUUCUCUUUCUACUGGAUUAGUUUGCUCAUGGCUUAACAAGCUAGAAAGACUCUUUCAGGAAUUGGAAGCAAAAUUGACAGAGAUGGAGAAGUCAACAAAGUUUGGAUUUCAUGUGAUUUUUAUGGAAUGGAACAAACUGCCAAGAAUCAUUGGGCUGGAUCAGAUCAAGGGAACCUGACUGAUCACAUCUCAUGGACUUCAUCAUGCACUUUUCUUUGUGGAUUGCCUCCUGCAAUAUGGGCAGCUCCAACAUUGAGGAGACAUACCUGCAUUUUCUUUCAGACGUGGUCUCCUCUCCAAUGAAAGGUAUGCCUCUUAAAAAGCGCUCAGUGCGUAGAGUACAUCAUUCUUAUUUGAAGACUUAGUCCCAGCUUUUGAUAAACUUUUCAUUUCCCUUAGAACAGACAGUAGUUGGU